rnacentral:lncRNA from 1 species
CCACAGUGUUUAAGUGAUUGAGUCCACACACGACACCCGCAAGCCUCUUCGGGUGAGAAAGGUAGCACAAGCCAACUUCCGUGUCAUCUAUGCUAGCUGGGAGGAAAUGUGACACACAGCGCUCGUGUAUGAGAGGUCACGACUGGACUCACGUUCGAAUCGUGUAAUGUGGGCAGCAGUCAGACGCGACUAGACUUCAGUUGCAGGAAAUCAAACAUGUUUGAUUUUUAAGCACGAUUUUGAACGCACAGGAGAAACGUGGGUGAUUUUACCGUCCCCAAAGCGAGCACACAGAAAACAGCAGCCAAUGACAGAGUGAAAUAAAGGCAGAAAAACACCGCAGCGCCUCCCUUUUCAUUUCUCUGUCAAAACAUCUGCACAAACUACACAUUUUCAUGACCGCAGCCUCACGCAAAUCAGCUCAACUUUACAUCACGCGAAAUACUUUUUCUAACUACAUUUCAACCGCAAAUAGAGUUUAACGGCGGUACUUACGGAGUUUGGACACGAACUUCCCAGCUAUUUUCUCCGUUAGCCUAGCUUCUUUCCGCUUUCUCUCCGCUUUCCGCCGCGGUCGCCUCCGUGUCUCCUCCACCACCUCCUCUGUCUCCUCCGUGUCGCGGUUGAUGGUCCAUUUCCUUUUCUUCUUAAAUCCAAACAAAUAUGUCCCGCAUCUUCAUGUCGCCGACGUUUAUCUCCAUUUUGACAAAACUAUAGCGAAGUUGAAGGCUGCAGCAUUGAACGGAGCUCACGUGAUACUGUUGAUACUGUUCACACUAUUGACCAAUGAGGACGCGCGCAUGUUUCCCACGCCCACAAACAGAGAGGCCUGUCUUCGAAGAGGAAGUAGUCUCUACAUUCAACCCGCGGUUAACGAGACGAGACAUAGACGACGACGGGAAAGGAAAUUGUCAACACUUGGUUUAAAGGCUUAACGGCAAUACGAAGUGUGGGCAGCGGCGUUUUCACUAAAUGACAUUGUGUGCCAUCGAUACUCAUCCUGCAAAGAGCUCCCAUCCUGCUGUCAUGUCUGAGAAACGAAUGGAAGAAGCUCAUUGUCCACAGGACACUCCUCAACAGAUGACAUUGUGUGCCAUCGAUACUCAUCCUGCAAAGACCUCCCAUUCUGCUGUCAUGUCUGAGAAACGGAUGGAAGAAGCUCAUUGUCCACAGGACACUCCUCAACAGAUAAAGCUCCACCGAAGAAAAACACCCUGGCAGGCAGCAGAGGUUAGGGCGGUAGAGAGGCAAAUGAUCCAGUUCAUCCGAUCUUGUACGGUACCAACGAAGAGAGACUGUGAGAAAUGUUUAAGAGCUGAACCUGAAGCUCUCAGUAACAGAAACUGGCAGAACUUGAAAUUUUACGUCUACAACAGGAUUACAGCCUUAAAAAGGAAAACACACCAUAAAUAGUAUGGUGAAUCCAAAGAAAACUGUUCAACCAAAGUUUUGUUUUUUCUUAGUCUGAAUAAUAUCCACCCAGUUCUAGCCUCGUGGGAGUUCUCCUUUAUAUUCCUCCUUUAGAUUAUGUGUGUAUGAAUCAGGUCUCCCAUAGAAGCUAUCUAAAGCUUAUUGAGGGAGCCUGUGUACAUACAAAACAAAACAAAUACUGAGCCUUCUGUUCUUUGCAUGUGUGUGUACGUUUAUACACAAUGUUAUUGUCAUUGCAGAAUUUUAUUGUAUGCAAUGUAAACAAUUUCUCUGACCUUGUCAUUAAAAAAGUGUCAUGCAGGUCAAACCAGUUUGAUUUCUUGGUGGGGUCAUGUGACAUGUU